GUGGUUCAUUAAUUCCAGCUGCAAUAAGUAAACUAGUGCUAAAUAAUCUGUGCUACUACUUGGCUCUGGAUUUUUCAGGGAAAGGGAAGGGGAGAAACGGAAGCAUUCGCGCAGCACGCAAAGUGUGUGCACGUUUUUUCCUUCUUCUUCUUCUUCUCCUCGACUAAUCGACCAUCCAGACCGAGGCAACAAACACGCACGAAUCAAGGACGAAAGGAGAAAGAAAGACCUCUAUUUUGACCUCAUGUUCUCGCGGCGGACAGAAAAACCACUGAUUUCAGCGAGCGAAAUCCGAACACGAACGAACAUCGCAAGAAACAGAAAAGAAAAACAGAGUCAAAUCGAAUGGGCGUAGAACAGGGGAGGGGAGGGGAGGGAGGGGGUUUACCCACCGCGAAAUCUGCCGGCCUCUCGAUCUGCGCGUCCUCGAAUCCCUCCACGCACAUGUCCGGUUCGCCGCCGCCGGUGAGUUCUUCUUCUUCCCGACCUCUCGCUCUGGCUCCCGCGUUCGCCCUGUUACUCUGCCUCACGAUUGGACUCGAACUGCCGCCGCAGGUUCCGGUGAAGAAGGAUUGAAGGAUUGAAGGGGGAGUGGGACGCGACCGAGACCGGGACGGGCUUGGAAUCGGAGCAGAAGAUUCGCGGGAAUAUCUCUCUAAGCUAGCUCUCUGUUUCGAUCGGGGGUAGGAAAAGGAAGGGAAGGCGGAGGCGGAUGUGGGAUUUGCUGCUGGUUUCUUUCUCUUCUCUCUUCUGUCUUCUCUGUUUACGGAGACGGGGAGGGGAGAGAGGGGAGAGGAGGUAUUUA
rnacentral:rRNA from 1 species